CACUUAGCAUCGCCCAUAGACGGCCAUUCAUUUUCCACGAUAUUAACAAGCUCACGACUCGUUUUUUUGAAAGGUAAUGUAAAAUUUUAUGCGUUGUGCUGUUUGACUUACUCCUGUUCUUCAUACUACUGUCCGGACUUGGUACUUUACUUUUCGGGAAUUAUGUUUAAUAGGUCUGGAAAUAAGUGGGUCUGCUCACUUCCGCGUACUGUGAAAAAGGUCUAUGGACGCCGUCUGCCUCCUCGCAGGGUGAAGCUACUACAAGAACAGCACCCUCUGGUGACGGGCUGCAGUAAAGGUCAGUAAUCCCCCCUCCUCCAGCAAUCCUGUGGAGCUGUGAACAAAUUUAAGAAAUUUAUUACACAACAACAAAAAUUUUUCUCCUUCCUGCUUGCGGUGUUGAUAUGUAGUUACAGUAAGACUGGUUCGUGCUCAAGUCCUCUUUUUUUCUGUGCAGCUCCAUUUUUAAAAGUUGUUAGGGUUCAUGAUUUCUAAAAUUGACACUUGCUACUGCCUAUGGGGGAUACGCUGUUAGAGCCAAGCGUCAUCACAGCCACUCUCCUGCCGAAUGCAUACAAUGCCACUGCGCAAGUGCUAGAGUGUCUACAACGCUACAGCACAAUGUCUGUUUCAGGAAAUGGAGAAAAAUUGCAGGAAUACAGAGAGCUUUUCAGCUUCAAAUCCCUAUACUCGCAGAAGGCGGAACCAAGUUGUCCAUAGUAUAUACAGUCUAUGGUCCAAACCAUGACAUGAAUUUAGCAUCUCUGUGUAAAAAGACGUUUCAGAACAUUUGCUACAUUUUAAACUUUCCAGCUUUUAGCCAAGCAGCAAUCUACAGUAUAAAGAAAUGAAGCUGAUGCUGAAGAGCUAAAUACUGCAGUUCCAUGAGUGCCCACUUGAAGCUGGCUGCGGAAGUACCUGGAACCAUGUACACACUGGUCCAAAAGAGCCUGUUUUCAGAGCAAAAAUAAAUGUGUUUCAAGGAAAUGGUUUUAAUCUGAUCCUUUUUUUAAAAUUAUUAUUAAGGCAAAAAGAUCAGCAAGUAAGUGGCACAGCUGAGUGACAGGAAGGCAAACUGUAGCCAUUUGUAAGGAGG